rnacentral:rRNA from 1 species
GACAGAGGGGGCAAGCGUUGCUCGGAAUUACUGGGCGUAAAGCGCGCGUAGGCGGCUUUUCAAGUCGAUUGUGAAAUCCCCGGGCUUAACCUGGGAACUGCAGUCGAGACUGUCUAGCUAGAGUAUGGGAGAGGGAAGUGGAAUUUCAGGUGUAGCGGUGAAAUGCGUAGAUAUCUGAAGGAACAUCAGUGGCGAAAGCGACUUCCUGGACCAAUACUGACGCUCAUGUGCGAAAGCGUGGGGAGCAAACAGG